AGUGGCUCAUUCACCUUCUUAUGUCAGCCCCACGCGAGCGCUACAUAAACCUCGAAUGACGCACUUACAGGUGCCUGCCGUCCACCCAUUGAUACAGCAUUCGCUCUAUCAGACAUCGGACGAAACGUUGAGUAAGGCACCGCCUA
rfam:Escherichia hermannii NBRC 105704 DNA, contig: EH10570418.